GGGGACGACUUGGUUUCGACGCCGAUUACAAACCCAAAGGUGCAUGUCGUGAGGGCAGAGACUCACGUACUCCAAUCUCUGAAAACUAUAGUUGCAAACGACGACAACUACGCUCUAGCGGCCUAAACCCCCGUUAGCGCUCACGCCAAGAUGCUUAUAUCGCGGUACUGAGCGUCAUCAGAAUAAGCUAGCCAUGAGGAAUGUCUCCUACCGACUGGCGAAACCUUAAGGAGAAUCGCUGUUUACACCCUGCCCCCCGGGUCGUUUACGGCUAGAUCAAUAGAGGGAAACUAAGCAUGUAGAGCCGAUGGCAGAGGAUUGGCGGACGCGGGUUCAAUUCCCGCCGUCUCCACCA
rnacentral:tmRNA from 1 species